AACGAACGCUGGCGGCAUGCCUAACACAUGCAAGUCGAACGAUACCUCCGGGUCUCUUGGCGUCCGGGUGCGUAACGCGUGGGAACCUGCCCUUAGGUUCGGAAUAACUCCCCGGAAGGGGUUCUCAUCCCGGAUCAUUUCUUCGUACCACAGAUGUAUCGCCUUUGGAUGGGCCCGCGUUUGAUUCGCUAGUUGGUCGGGUAAAAGCCUACCAAGGCGACGAUCCAUAGCUGGUCUGAGAGACAGAUCAGCCACACUGGGACUGGGAAACGGCGCAGACUAUUGCGGGAGGGAGGAGAGGGGAAUAUUGCACAACGGGCGAAGGGCUGAAGCAGCUAGGCCGCGUAAGUGAUGAAGGCCUGAGGGAAGGAAAGCUCUUUUAUCCGGGAUGAUAAUGACGGUACCGGGAGAAUAAGCGCCGGCUAACUCCGUG
rnacentral:rRNA from 1 species